CCUACGGGGGGCAGCAGUGGGGAAUAUUGCACAAUGGGCGAAAGCCUGAUGCAGCAACGCCGCGUGAAGGAAGAAGGCCUUCGGGUCGUAAACUUCUUUCCUUGGGGAAGAAGAACUGACGGUACCUAAGGAGGAAGCCCCGGCUAACUACGUGCCAGCAGCCGCGGUAAUACGGAGGGGGCAAGCGUUAUCCGGAGUUAUUGGGCGUAAAGAGUACGUAGGUGGCAACCUAAGCCAAGGGUAAAAGGCAAUGGCUAAACCAUUUUUCGCCCUGGGAACCGGGAUGCUUGAGUGGAGGAGAGGAAAGCGGAAUUCCUAGUGUAGCGGUGAAAUGAGUAGAUAUUAGGAGGAACACCAGUGGCGAAGGCGGCUUUCUGGACUGUAACUGACGCUGAGGUACGAAAGCGUGGGGAGCAAACAGGAUUAGAUACCCUUGUAGUC
rnacentral:rRNA from 1 species